rnacentral:rRNA from 1 species
CAGUCGCCGCGGGAAUACGUAGGGUGCGAGCGUUAAUCGGAAUUACUGGGCGUAAAGCGUGCGCAGGCGGUUCGUUAAGACAGAUGUGAAAUCCCCGGGCUUAACCUGGGACCUGCAUUUGUGACUGUAUAGCUAGAGUACGGUAGAGGGGGAUGGAAUUCCGCGUGUAGCAGUGAAAUGCGUAGAUAUGCGGAGGAACACCGAUGGCGAAGGCAAUCCCCUGGACCUGUACUGACGCUCAUGCACGAAAGCGUGGGGAGCAAACAGGAUUAGAGACCCCAGUAGUCCCUGUCUCUUAUAC